UCGCGCCCUACGGGACGGUCGCCGCCGACCUGCUGGGUCGGGUGGUUGCGGCCGUCGCGCGGAUCGGCGAACGCAUUCGCCAGGGCGUGAU
rnacentral:tRNA from 1 species